AUGAUUAACAUACAUUUCCUCAUCUAGAAGAACAUAUAGCUUGGAAACAACUGAAAAAUUAAAGUAAUUCUUAAGAGUUCCUAGAAGACUCAUUAAGAAAUGGCAGACUUUGACUUCAGCGAAUUACUUUUACAAUAAAAUCAGGGCAAUAUACUGCUCCUUGCUUUGUUGCUGUUGGCACACCUGGGAAAAUAUCCUGUCCCCUCUGGCUUAGAAAAAAUGAUGUGUGCAAGGCAUCACGAUGCCACAUCUCCUGUAUGACUGCAAAAAGUUGGAAGAAGCAGAGACAUAACUGCUAUAUGUCAGUUCAGCUCCCUGGACUCUGUUAUAAAGGAGAUGCUGUGAUUCUGUGACUCUGCAAACAUCCUCCUCAGGGAUAGCUGCUUAUACAUGUGCACAGAAGUCUGAUGCAAUUUAAUCCAACCGGUGCAAAAGUUCCAGACUGAACAGUCUACGCACAUGGAUCAGCUUUCUGGAUCAAGGCCUAAGGCUGAAACUGUAGCCAAAUAUUUCCUGCUUUACGUGCGACCCCACACUGCAUGGCUAUGUCCUGGAACAGAACAGUGCAUUAACUUUGCAAUGUUGCAAAUCAUGUUUCUCUUUAAAAGCUAAUUUUCUCCUAUGAAAUAUCCAUUGAAAAUGGACCUAGCUUUUGACUGAUUGCCUCUGAUAGAAAAUGCCUGGUGAUAAUCCUGUUUGGCUUUAUAUUCUUUAUUUUACUUUGGGGAAAAAUGUAGGAGACAUCUACAGUUUCCAUUACUACUGUUUCUUAUCUUGUAUUUCUGUGUUGAUCCACUUUGAAUCAUCACUGCAACCCAGAAACAGACUAUUCUGCUUUAUUAUUUACAGCGAAUGCACUGCUACUUAUACUGGGAUGCAGACAAUUUUUCUGAAUUUGUAUAAAAUGGCUCAGGAAACUUGGGGUUCCAAGGCUACUGUUGUAGGAAUCCUUACUGCAUUCCAGAACUGACUAUGUUUGUUUGAGAACUCAUCAUUUUGUACAGCAGUUUAAAACUACCUUCAAAUCUUGGAGAUUCCUUAGCUUAAUCCAUAUGUUUUAUUUUGUUUUGAAAAAAUUGUUGCAUCUUGCAAAACCCCUCUUGUGCUUGAUCUACUGUAACAAUUAAAAAAUUUUGUCUAUUAAGUUACAUGGGUUAUUACAGUCCUGAAUUUCCUUUUCCCCUCUGAGGCUGAGGAAGGGGGAGCAUGUGACUUCUAGAUAGGGAAGAAAAAGGAUGUAGAGCAAUGUGACAGAGGUUCAGGCUCUGCAGCACCUAUCUCCUUUUGUGUAUGUAUGUAUUGUGUAUACAGGCCUUCUGAGAGAGUCAUUGGGAGUUAGGAUGUUGGAGCUAGUAGCCACCUAAAGGCUCUUUCUAAUCCAGUACUACCAAAUUAAUGCAGUGACCUAAUUAAGUCAUUUUAAAUAUGAAAAGAAAGGCUAAUCAGAGAAAUCAAAAAAGAUGGAAAUGAAAGACAAGCAAGUCAUAACCAUUUGCAGUUUUGGAGCCUUUCUUCCUAAAUACCCGUAUAUGAACUUUUUCAUCUAAGUAUGGUUACUUUAUGAUAUUGACACUUGUAAUGGAAGGAAAUCAGUAGUCAGCCGACUCAUCAAAAGAUCCUGAUGAGGUAAAGUUCAAGAAACUUUUUCCCAAUAUUGUGCACUGGAAAUUAUAUAUAUUAAAUCUCCAUAAUUAUCUAAAAUUUCAGAAACAAUUGGUGUGUUUGUUGAUUACAAAGAAUCAACUUUCCUUUCACUCUGUGUUUAGAAAUCUGUGCUAAUUUUAAUGCCAGUCAUUACUGUUCUACUACUAUUUUUUUUGUUACAGUAUCCAGCAUGUUUGAACAUCACCAGACUAGACAUUUAAUCAAAGAGCCUCUCUCUCCAUAAUGAUCUAGGAACUGUUGAAAUGCUGUCUAGAAAGACAUUUAUUUAUAAAUUUAUUUAUAAACUAAAAUAAAAUUUCUGAUUUAACAUUUGUUUUUAUCCAAAUGAAAAUGACUUGAGGGAAAACAAUGAAUUUUAUGAAUGUUUGAACACAAAAGUACAAGUUAUUUUAGCAGGAUAAUUAUCAUCUUUAAUUUUGAAAAGUUAUCCAUGAAGAGCAAUAAGUCUGUAAAUAGUUCAGAUUUUAUAGUAACACAAAAUAGGGUUAUUUUGCAUAGCAAAGACUAAAUAUAUAUAUUUUUUUCAGGAUUAAUCAAAUUGAGAUUCAUGCCCCCUCAAUUACAGUUGUAAUUGUAGUAGCUAUAUGAUUUGACCUAUCAUAGAAUUCAAAUGAUUUAACUGAAGAAAAAUUUAAAAAGUGAAUGUUGUCUUUUUAAAAAUAUUCUCUUAUAUAAUCAUUUCAUGAAAGUUGGUUAUUAAGGUAGCUCACAAUACUUUCAACUGUUUUGCUAGAAUUGAACUUGGUGGCUGCUUGAGCACUUCAAGUAUAAAUUCAGGGUUUUAUGAUUAUCAGCCCAAGCUUGUAAGAGCAGGCUUGUUCCACUAAUAAAAAGCUAAAGUGCCUGAUCUUCUUCCACCUCAAACAAGGUGAAAAGCAGAUACCUAGAGCUUGUUUGAAAGGGAGGCAAUGGCUGUGAGGACUUUCCUCUUGAAGGUCCAAGUCUAGCCUGCAAACAGACCUAAUGCAAGUCCAGUUGCAGACACAGCAAACUGCAAACUCGUUGCGAGUGAAAUGCUGCAGGGCUAACGCAGUUAUACUCACAGACAAAGCAUUAUGCUUGCCCUAUGGUAGCAGCUACUAAUGUUUGCUCUGUUUAUAAAAUCUAAAAUUCUGUGGGUUUGGACCCUGCAAAAGUCAAACGUAAAAAUGUGCUUGAGUUUAGAUCAAAUCAGGCUCAUAAUCCUUUCAAGAAUGAAUAUCUUUAAAUAGAUUUCAGAUUCCUGUGGCUAGAUUCCCUAGACUAAAUGAGCUGCCCCUGGCAAAGGACUGGAAAAUAGGAAAGGAAGUGAAGGCUUUAAAGCAUUUGUGGUUCCCCUCUCUCAAAGCUGGCUGGCAGUCAAUCCUGUUCCAGUUCAGUGUGCUCAGGUGCCCCUGGCCUCCAGGAGCUAAUCUGGCAGCCAAGAACUAAUGCAGGGGAGAAGGCAAGAGCUGCAUGCUUUUUGAUGGGAGAGUGGGGCACUAGAGGCAGAUCUGGUCCAAGAUCCUGGCCCUCUGCCUGAAAAAUAUCUAGUUCUCUAAAGGAGCAGGAUAUUAAUCCACUGUCCGGGCACGGAAAGAUUCUUAAUACUGCCAUUAGGAAAAAGGUCUUACGGUAAGCUACACACAGUUUUGCAUCAGGUUUAUGAAGUAGUAGUCUGAAGGGACGGAAGAUCAACAGCAGGAUUUGGGAAGGAACAGAUCACGUGUGAGGGAGUGGGAGAGGUUGCUGGGUGCUGAUUGAGACUGAUGUUAUGGUACAAGGAGGUCAUGCUGUUGGCAAUAACUUCUUUAUUCUUACGUUGCAUAUAACUUAAUGUUCAGAGAGCUACAGCUCAUGUUUGAUGAAUGAUGACUAUAAUGUACUUCAUUUUGAAUGCCUCAGUUUCUAAGAGGACAGAUGUUUAAAUGUGCUGAACAUGAUGACUCCAUAAGUUAAUGAAAGCUUUCAUCUUGUGAACCGAUGAACAGCAAGGCCCCAGGGUCUGAAGUUUGAAAUGAAGUGAUAUCACAUCUUAAAAAUCUCAUCACUUUUCUGCCUCAGUAUCUCUAUUUAUAAAGUAAAGAUUUUUAUAUUAUUCGUAGACUUCUAGAUAGUGCAUAUAUACUUUCAAUUGUAUUUGAAGAUACAGAUAUGUACAGAAAAGGGAAAAAAGUGAUAAUUAUUUGUACUACAUGGAGUUGUUUUUAACCUUCUUCAUCUGCCAGGUUGACAAAAAUUUUGUAGUCUAUUGUAUGCAAAUUUUAAUCAAAAAACAUCAGUGCAGUGUUUAUUGUCCAAAUUGGGGUGGAGAAUAUUACAAUGAGUCCUAAAAUUCUGUUGUCUGAAGAGAGUAAAAAGAAUUAAGCAGCUCAGCCUAACAGACUGCAUGUUAAUUUAAGGAAACUGAAACAAACUCUGUAAAUGCUUUUUAAUAGAAAUUAGUCUAUAAAUUGACACAAUUUUCUCAAUAUUUUGGAAUGUAUAUCUUCAUCCAAGUAUAGAAGAAAACUAAGUGAGAAAUAGUGUUUGAAUUUAAGAGAAAAAAGAAUGAGGUUGUCAGAGCCACAACUGUUCAUCUGUCCUUAGCAGGCAGAAUAUAGACAGAGAAAAACAAUCUCAAAGCCAACAAAGUAGCUUCAGUCACAUCCAUAGUCUGCCUCUCCCCCGUCUUUUUUUCUUUAAACUUGAUUUAUUCUUGGGUUUAUCUUUCCAAGGGCUUAUAAAAGAUUUGAAUCUAAAACAUGGAACAGUCAAUAACUAAGUAAAUGUCGUCUUGUGGCAGAUAUAAUUUUUCUUGAAGGUUAAAGCCAAAACUGCAAAGAUUUGCCACUUGUAAGUUAAAUUCUUUGCUAUUUUUGCUAUACUACUUAUUUAUGAACUGGAUUUUCAACAGCAAUGACUGAGGGAUUUCUAGAAUGGAGGUAUGAGUACAAAAAACUAGGAAUAAAAUGCAACUUCUCUCUGAAGAAAUCUUUCAAAAUCUUUUUUGAAAUUCAGGGUAUCAAAUUCCUACUUUAGUUCUCCAGAGCAAAACCGUUAACAAAAUGUUGCAGAUAGGCCAGUUACAAAAUGUUUUCCUUCCACUACAAAUCCUGCAGUGGAGCAGCUGGCUGAAUUUACCUUUAUGAAAGAGGUGCACAAUAAGGAUGAUUUUCUGCACGAAGCAGUGCUUUGUGCAAUAUUCCUCUGUGAUGCAAAUUAUGUAUUUCUGUGGAUCUGGGACCUGUUGUGAGUGGGAGAUCAAAAAAAAUUUUCCUUACUGUCUUGUGAUUUUUGUCAAGCACUACCUCCUUCUGCCAAACAGAAAUGUUCCCAGCUUACACUUUUUCCCACAAAUAAAGCUU